UACAGAGGUCUCAAGCGUUGUUCGGAUUCAUUGGGCGUAAAGGGUGCGUAGGUGGCGUGGUAAGUCGGGUGUGAAAUUUCGGAGCUUAACUCCGAAACUGCAUUCGAUACUGCCGUGCUUGAGGACUGGAGAGGAGACUGGAAUUUACGGUGUAGCAGUGAAAAUGCGUAGAGAUCGUAAGGAACAUCAGUGGCGAAAAGCGGCUUCC
rnacentral:rRNA from 1 species